AUUGAACGCUGGCGGCAUGCUUUGCACAUGCAAGUCGAACGGUAACAGGCCUUCGGGUGCUGACGAGUGGCGAACGGGUGAGUAAUGCAUCGGAACGUGCCCAGAGGUGGGGGAUAACGCAGCGAAAGCUGUGCUAAUACCGCAUGUGAUCUGAGGAUGAAAGCGGGGGACCAAGCAGCAAUGUUUGGCCUCGCGCCUCUGGAGCGGCCGAUGUCAGAUUAGGUAGUUGGUGGGGUAAAGGCCUACCAAGCCGACGAUCUGUAGCUGGUCUGAGAGGACGACCAGCCACACUGGGACUGAGACACGGCCCAGACUCCUACGGGAGGCAGCAGUGGGGAAUUUUGGACAAUGGGCGCAAGCCUGAUCCAGCAAUGCCGCGUGCGGGAAGAAGGCCUUCGGGUUGUAAACCGCUUUUGUACGGAACGAAAAGGCUCUGGCUAAUACCUGGGGCUGAUGACGGUACCGUAAGAAUAAGCACCGGCUAACUACGUG
rnacentral:rRNA from 1 species